rnacentral:rRNA from 1 species
CAAGACCGCGAGGUGGAGCAAAUCCCUAAAAGCCAUCCCAGUUCGGAUUGCAGGCUGCAACCCGCCUGUAUGAAGUUGGAAUCGCUAGUAAUCGCGGAUCAGCAUGCCGCGGUGAAUACGUUCCCGGGCCUUGUACACACCGCCCGUCACACCAUGAGAGUCGGGAACACCCGAAGUCCGUAGCCUAACCGCAAGGGGGGCGCGGCCGAAGGUGGGUUCGAUAAUUGGGGUGAAGUCGUAACAAGGUAAC